rnacentral:tRNA from 1 species
GCGGCUGAGGCUGAGGGCGAAUGCGCUCUUCUCAGCUUCCCAAGCUGAAUGUCGUCGGUUCGAUCCCGAUCGCCCGCUCCA